GCGCCUAUAGCUCAGUGGAUAGAGCGUCAGUUUCCGAAACUGAAAGUCGGAGGUUCAAUCCCUCUUAGGCGCU
rfam:Peptoniphilus duerdenii ATCC BAA-1640 genomic scaffold SCAFFOLD1, whole genome shotgun sequence.